AUUGAACGCUGGCGGCAUGCCUUACACAUGCAAGUCGAACGGCAGCACGGGAGCAAUCCUGGUGGCGAGUGGCGAACGGGUGAGUAAUAUAUCGGAACGUGCCCAGUUGUGGGGGGUAACUGCUCGAAAGAGCAGCUAAUACCGCAUACGACCUGAGGGUGAAAGGGGGGGAUCGCAAGACCUCUCGCUAUUGGAGCGGCCGAUAUCAGAUUAGCUAGUUGGUGGGGUAAAGGCCUACCAAGGAAACGAUCUGUAGUUGGUCUGAGAGGACGACCAGCCACACUGGGACUGAGACACGGCCCAGACUCCUACGGGAGGCAGCAGUGGGGAAUUUUGGACAAUGGGCGCAAGCCUGAUCCAGCAAUGCCGCGUGCAGGAAGAAGGCCUUCGGGUUGUAAACUGCUUUUGUCAGGGAAGAAAUCCUCUAGGUUAAUACCCUUGGGGGGAUGACGGUACCUGAAGAAUAAGCACCGGCUAACUACGUGCCAGCAGCCGCCGUAAAAC
rnacentral:rRNA from 1 species